CUUGAUUGAACCAUAAGAGGUCCAGCCUGCCCAGUGACAUUGUUCAACGGCCGCGGUAUCCUAACCGUGCGAAGGUAGCGUAAUCACUUGUCCCUUAAAUGGGGACUAGUAUGAAUGGCCCCACGAAAGCUAUACUGUCUCCUUUUUCCAAUCAGUUAAACUAAUCUUCCCGUGAAGAAGCGGGAAUAAACAUGCAAGACGAGAAGACCCUAUGGAGCUUUAAACAAUUGAAACACUUGCACUUUAUUUUUAAACCUACAUUAAACCUCACAUUUUGUUUCUAGUUUUAGGUUGGGGUGACCGCGGAGAAAAAACUAACCUCCACGUUGAAAGAGAUUUUUCCUCUAAACAAAAAGCUACAUCUUUAUGUAUUAACAUAUUAACCUUAAUUGACCCA
rnacentral:rRNA from 2 species